CCUGACUCAACUUAAAGGUUUAUACAGCCAGAAAGGAAAACAGAAGGGCAAGGAAGAGGAGUUGGCCAACAGGGAGCAGGAGUUUUCAUUGUUCAAAUAAGACUCUCUGCAAGAGCUGAAGGAGCCCUGACCUUGGGGUGAAUAAGUGAAGAGCAGAAUUGGUCCCACUCAUCUCUUUCACAUGGCCAUGGGUAUGCCAUGAAUCCAAGCAGGUCUUCUGGGACACAACUUCUCCAAGCAAUGAGCUCACCACUCCCUGAGCCUCCACUCUCUGGCUGAGCCCAGGGAUCCAUGCUCUGGCUGAGUCCAGGCCCCAUGAACCUGCACCCCCCACAGCUUCUUCUCCACAGCAGAGUCCAGUGGCCCCACUGAUAUUUGUCUUGGCUGCCCCAAGGACUAGCAGAGACGUUCCUCCCAAGUUGAUAGGGCCCUUUUAGACAACUUUGCAUAAGCACAGUUCUUCUAGCUGAGCUGCAAGCAACCAUAUGAACUGCUUCUCUAGCUCAAGAUAUGACAUGAGCGUCUUCUUUCAUAUUGUUUUUAACUGAUCAUUCAUGUCCUGCUAUGGGAAGUUUAGCAUCUCUCUCAAGGAUGCUCCUCCUCACCAAUUUUCUAAGAACUGCAGAGUCUGAAUCAGUUUACGGGGGCAUCACUGCCACUUCCAAAUGCAAAUAAAAGGGAGAAUUGGAGUGCCACCAAUUUCUGAGGCUACAACUUUUCAUUUUUGUCAGUGUCAAAGACUGGGCCAAUACAUCUUUGUCCCCUGCUAAUGAAUGUUCUUGGCCCAGAUGCAGUGACGGCCCUGUGUUUGAGAUACCAGGUUGCAGCUAUCUUGGUUUACAAGGCCGCACGCACUCAUCACAUCCCAAAGACUACUGUGAUAGAGGGCUCCCAGCCACACACAUGUCAGACCAGAGCAAGUUCUCCCUCACCAAGGUCCCUAGGUCUUCAUGCUUAACCCCAUCCUCGGCCUAGUUCAUUCCAACCCUGGAACCUCAUUGUCCUUCCCAACCCCUGGGCUUGGUUCACACCAACAGAUUUCCCUAACUCUGAAUAUCCAGGAACAGCAGUUGGAAUCUUUAUGCCUUCUCUCUCAGAGGAUCCUGAGGCCCAUAUGCAAAUAAAUUCUUCCACCCACCCAAAGAUCUGUAUACCAAGAGGAAGCUUCCCCUCAGUCUCGAAAAACAAAAGACUUAUGACAGACACUUUAUGGUUGUCUUCUAUGCUGUUCAUGAAAUAUUUCUGGUUCUUCCUUCUUUCUG
rnacentral:lncRNA from 1 species